GUCCUGAGGGAGAAAGUGGGGGAUCUUCGGACCUCACGCUAUCAGAUGAGCCUAGGUCGGAUUAGCUAGUUGGUGGGGUAAAGGCCUACCAAGGCGACGAUCCGUAACUGGUCUGAGAGGAUGAUCAGUCACACUGGAACUGAGACACGGUCCAGACUCCUACGGGAGGCAGCAGUGGGGAAUAUUGGACAAUGGGCGAAAGCCUGAUCCAGCCAUGCCGCGUGUGUGAAGAAGGUCUUCGGAUUGUAAAGCACAUUAAGUUGGGAGGAAGGGCAGUAAGUUAAUACCUUGCUGUUUUGACGUUACCAACAGAAUAAGCACCGGCUAACUUCGUGCCAGCAGCCGCGGUAAUACGAAGGGUGCAAGCGUUAAUCGGAAUUACUGGGCGUAAAGCGCGCGUAGGUGGUUCAGCAAGUUGGAUGUGAAAUCCCCGGGCUCAACCUGGGAACUGCAUCCAAAACUACUGAGCUAGAGUGCGGUAGAGGGUGGUGGAAUUUCCUGUGUAGCGGUGAAAUGCGUAGAUAUAGGAAGGAACACCAGUGGCGAAGGCGACCACCUGGACUGAUACUGACACUGAGGUGCGAAAGCGUGGGGAGCAAACAGGAUUAGAUANCCUGGUAGUCCACGCCGUAAACGAUGUCGACUAGCCGUUGGGAUCCUUGAGAUCUUAGUGGCGCAGCUAACGCGAUAAGU
rnacentral:rRNA from 1 species